CGGCGGACGGGUGAGUAACGCGUGGGUAACCUGCCUCAUACAGGGGGAUAACAGUUGGAAACGGCUGCUAAUACCGCAUAAGCGCACAGUACCACAUGGUACGGUGUGAAAAACUCCGGUGGUAUGAGAUGGACCCGCGUCUGAUUAGGUAGUUGGUGGGGUAACGGCCUACCAAGCCGACGAUCAGUAGCCGACCUGAGAGGGUGACCGGCCACAUUGGGACUGAGACACGGCCCAA
rnacentral:rRNA from 1 species